rnacentral:rRNA from 1 species
GAUGAACGCUGGCGGCGUGCCUAAUACAUGCAAGUCGAGCGAACGGACGAGAAGCUUGCUUCUCUGAUGUUAGCGGCGGACGGGUGAGUAACACGUGGAUAACCUACAUAUAAGACUGGGAUAACUUCGGGAAACCGGAGCUCAUACCGGAUAAUAUUUUGAACCGCAUGGUUCAAAAGUGAAAGACGGUCUUGCUGUCACUUAUAGAUGGAUCCGCGCUGCAUUAGCUAGUUGGUAAGGUAACGGCUUACCAAGGCAACGAUGCAUAGCCGACCUGAGAGGGUGAUCGGCCACACUGGAACUGAGACACGGUCCAGACUCCUACGGGAGGCAGCAGUAGGGAAUCUUCCGCAAUGGGCGAAAGCCUGACGGAGCAACGCCGCGUGAGUGAUGAAGGUCUUCGGAUCGUAAAGCUCUGUUAUUAGGGAAGAACAUAUGUGUAAGUAACUGUGCACAUCUUGACGGUACCUAAUCAGAAAGCCACGGCUAACUACGUG